GUCUACAGCCAUACCACCCUGAACACACCCGAUUUCAGAAGCUAAGCAGGGUCGGGCCUGGUUAAUACUUGGAUGGGAGACAGCAUGGAAAUACCAAUGCUGCU
ensembl:rRNA nuclear encoded rRNA 5S 168